GACGAACGCUGGCGGCGUGCUUAACACAUGCAAGUCGAACGAUGAAGAAAAGAAUCGAUGCUUCGGCAGAAAUUCAUUUCGGAUUAGUGGCAGACGGGUGAGUAACGCGUGAGCAACCUACCUCUUACAAAGGGAUAGCCUCGGGAAACCGGGAUUAAUACCAUAUAACAUUGUGACGAAGCAUUUCGAUGCAAUCAAAUCUACGACGGUAGGAGAGGGGCGCGCGUCCCAUUCACCGGAUGGUAAGGUAACGGCUCACCAUAGCGACGAUGGGUAACCGGGAUGUGAGGGUGAACCGUGACACUGGAACUGAGACACGGUCCAGAAUACUAGGGGAGGGAGCAGAGGGGAAUAUAGCACAACGGAGGGAGCGCUGAUGCAGCGCCGGCGGGUGAGUGAUGAAGGAAUUCGUUAAGUAAAGCUGUGUUAUAUGGGAAGAAAAUGACGGUACCAUAGGAGAAAGCACCGGCUAAAUACGUG
rnacentral:rRNA from 1 species